rnacentral:rRNA from 1 species
GAUGAACGCUAGCUACAGGCUUAACACAUGCAAGUCGAGGGGCAGCAUGAACUUAGCUUGCUAAGUUUGAUGGCGACCGGCGCACGGGUGAGUAACACGUAUCCAACCUGCCGAUGACUCGGGGAUAGCCUUUCGAAAGAAAGAUUAAUACCCGAUGGCAUAGUUCUUCCGCAUGGUAGAACUAUUAAAGGAUUUCGGUCAUCGAUGGGGAUGCGUUCCAUUAGGUUGUUGGCGGGGUAACGGCCCACCAAGCCUUCGAUGGAUAGGGGUUCUGAGAGGAAGGUCCCCCACAUUGGAACUGAGACACGGUCCAAACUCCUACGGGAGGCAGCAGUGAGGAAUAUUGGUCAAUGGACGAGAGUCUGAACCAGCCAAGUAGCGUGAAGGAUGACUGCCCUAUGGGUUGUAAAACUUCUUUUAUAUGGGGAAUAAAAGUAUUCCACGUGUGGGAUUUUGUAUGUACCAUAUGAAUAAGGAUCGGCUAAACUCCGUGCCAGCAGCCGCGG